UGACUAUUUCAAAUGCAUCCUUGCAUUUUUUAUUAAGUGAUCCGUUGUUGAGGUAUGAAUAGUUUAAUUCAAGAGUAUGAAUUUUUGUUUGAUGACUGAAAAUGCAGUCUUAAAAAACAAAUAACUAAAUGAAUAGCCUUUCAAAAAAUAAUAAUCAUUUUAUCAAAAAAAAAAAUUCCCACUUCCUUAAGAGAAAAAACAAAAUAAUUUGGAAAAUUUUGAUGUUGGGAUAGUUCUAUUUCUAUUUCACCAUUUGAAAUAAAAUCUUUCGUAAAACAAGAAAAAUGAAGCGUUCACAUGCUUUUUGUUUUGUCAUGAUACGAUUAUUCUUCAUUGAGAAACAGCUUAUCAAAAAUCACUAAAAAAAGAAACACGAAUUUUGUAUGUUCCUAAAAUAUUUUGGGUUACUGUAUUUAGUAGCAAAUUAAAGUGUUUAGUUAUUUGAAUGAGAGUAAGUGCUAAAAUUUUUGUAAACAAAUUUUUUCGAGUUCUUGUAAUUUUUAGUAGGUACACUGUGGUGUAUGCGUUUUAUUUUGAGAGUUGUUAUAUAAAAAAUUCUUUUUAGAAUAUCUCCUAAACAGAGGGUGGACAAACGAUGAUUUUUUGUUUGUAUACAUUUCUCGAGGUGGACAAACGAUUGCCGUUUGAAUUUUUGAAAAAUAAUAAUUUUUGAGGAUUUUGAAAUUUUCACUGUGGUGUAUGCGUGAUAUUUUUUUCGAUUUUUCAGUACAAAUUUUGUUUUUUCAAUAUCUCUUAAACGUAGGGUGGACAAACGACGAUUUUUGGCAUACGUGAAGAACUCGAGGUGGACAAACGACAGAAAUUCGAAAUUUUGAAAAAAGUCAAUUUUUGGAGAUUUUUUGGGACUUUGAAAUUUUCAGAACAAAUUUUGUUUUUACGUGUAGAACUCGAGGUGGACAAACAAAAGAAAUUUGAAAUUUUGAAAAAAAUUAAUUUUUGGAGUUUUAUGGGACUUUGAAUUUUUCAGUACAAAUUUUGUUUUUUAAAUAUCUUCUAAACGUAGGGUGGACAAACGACGAUUUUUGGUAUGCGUAUAGAACUCGAGAUGGACAAACGACAGAAAUUUGAAUUUUUGAAAAAAGUCAAUUCUUGGAGAUUUAAUGGGACUUUGAAUUUUUCAGUACAAACGACAGAGAUUCGAAAUUUUGAAAAAAGUCAAUUUUUGGAGAUUUUUUGGGACUUUGAAAUUUUCAGUACAAAUUUUGUUUUUUGAAUAUCUUUUAAACGUAGGGUGGACAAACGACGAUUUUUAGUAUACGUGUAGAACUCGAGGUGGACAAACGACAGAAAUUUUGAAAAAAGUCAAUUCUUGGAGAUUUUAUGGGACUUUGAAUUUUUCAGUACAAAUUUUGUUUUUUGAAUAUCUCCUAAACGUAGGAUGGACAAACGAUGAUUUUUUUGUUUGUAUACAUUUCUCGAGGUGAACAAACGAUUGCCGUUUGAAUUUUUGAAAAAUAAUAAUUUUUGAGGACUUUUUAAUUUUCAGUAGUGGUACACCGUGGUGUAUGCGUACUUUUUUGAGAGUUGCUAUAAAAAAAUUCUUUUUGGAAUAUCUCAUAAACAGAGGGUGGACAAACGAUGAUUUUUGGUAUAUGUAAAGGUGGACAAACGACAGCAGUUUGAAUUUUUGAUAAAAAUUGAUUUUUGGGGAUUUUAGGGGAGUUUUAGUUUUUCAGUGCAAAAUUUGUUUUUUAAAUUGCUCCUAAACGGGGGGUGGAAAAACGAUAAUAUUUGGUAUGUAUAUAGAACUCGAGGUGGACAAACGAUUGCAGUUGGUUUUAUACGUCUAUCUCAAAAUUUGAGCGUUUUAGAAGAGUUUUCAUUUUUCAGACUUCUUAUAAAAAAAAAAAAAAAAGAAUUUGCUCUAAAAUUUUUUGAAGGGUAGAA